rnacentral:rRNA from 1 species
UACGAAGGGGGGCUAGCGUUGCUCGGAAUGACUGGGCGUAAAGGGCGCGUAGGCGGCUCAUACAGUCAGGCGUGAAAUUCCUGGGCUCAACCUGGGGGACUGCGCUUGAGACGUGUGGGCUUGAGUGGGGAAGAGGGUCGUGGAAUUCCCAGUGUAGAGGUGAAAUUCGUAGAUAUUGGGAAGAACACCGGUGGCGAAGGCGGCGACCUGGUCCGAUACUGACGCUGAGGCGCGAAAGCGUGGGGAGCAAACAGG